rnacentral:lncRNA from 1 species
AACAAUCAAAGUAAAGCCCAUCUUCAAAUAGUAUCGAGAAAUGUGGUAGCCUUUAAAUAUAUUUUCAUAUUUAAUUAUAAAAUUUAAAACUUCAAAUAUAGUGUAGGCCGAACAAAUCUAUGAAAACUUGAAAAUUAACGGUCCAAAAAUAUGUUACAAGAUGCAUUAUUUCCAAAACUUGAAAUCUAUUUUUUUUUCUGAUGUCCAUGCAUCUUGAUGUCUAGAUGAUCAAUUUGAUGAUAUUUGGGCACCAAAACAACCUCUUCUAGUAAAAUUUUUUAUAUGGG